rnacentral:rRNA from 1 species
UCGAGAAUCUUCGGCAAUGCGCGAAAGCGUGACCGAGCAAUGCCGCGUGCGGGAUGAAGGCCCUCGGGUUGUAAACCGCGAAAGUGAGUAGGAAGGACCUGUGAAGAGCAGGUUUUGACCGAUACACAGUAAGGACGGGCUAAGUUCGUGCCAGCAGCCGCGGUAACACGAACCGUCCAAACGUUAUUCGGAAUCAUUGGGCUUAAAGGGUGCGUAGGCGGUGCGUUAAGUCGGGUGUGAAAUCCCUCAGCUCAACUGAGGAACUGCGCCCGAUACUGACGUGCUCGAGGGAGACAGAGGUGAGCGGAACUGAUGGUGGAGCGGUGAAAUGCGUUGAUAUCAUCAGGAACACCGGUGGCGAAAGCGGCUCACUGGGUCUCUUCUGACGCUGAGGCACGAAAGCUAGGGUAGCGAACGGGAUUAGAUACCCCCGUAGUCC